rnacentral:tRNA from 1 species
GCCUGGGUGGCUCAGUCGGUUAAGCGCCCGACUUUGGCUCAGGUCACAAUCUCGUGGUCUGUGGGUUCGAGCCCCACAUCGGGCU